GACAGGAGGGGGCAAGCGUUGCUCGGAAUUACUGGGCGUAAAGGGCGCGUAGGCGGGAUGGCAAGUCGGUCGUGAAAUCCCUCGGCUCAACCGAGGAACGUCGAUCGAUUACUGCUGUUCUUGAGGAUUGCAGAGGAGACUGGAAUUCCCGGUGUAGCGGUGAAAUGUGUAGAGAUCGGGAGGAACGACCGGUGGCGAAGGCGGGUCUCUGGGCAACAACUGGACGCUGAGGAGCGAAAGCGGUGGGGAGC
rnacentral:rRNA from 1 species